AACGCACGAGACCUGCGGACCUGCGGAGGGAUCAUUAGUGAACGCCCUCACAGGCUUAUAACUAUUCCAAACCUCUGUGAACCGUGCCCUUCGGGGCUAUUUUACAAACAUGGUGUAAUGAACGUCAUAUAUCAUAACAAAACAAAACUUUUAACAACGGAUCUCU
rnacentral:misc_RNA from 1 species